GUGGGGAAUCUUAGACAAUGGGGGAAACCCUGAUCUAGCCAUGCCGCGUGAGCGAUGAAGGCCUUAGGGUUGUAAAGCUCUUUCAGCUGGGAAGAUAAUGACGGUACCAGCAGAAGAAGCCCCGGCUAACUCCGUGCCAGCAGCCGCGGUAAUACGGAGGGGGCUAGCGUUGUUCGGAAUUACUGGGCGUAAAGCGCGCGUAGGCGGACCAGAAAGUUGGAGGUGAAAUCCCAGGGCUCAACCUUGGAACUGCCUUCAAAACUCCUGGUCUGGAGUUCGAGAGAGGUGAGUGGAAUUCCGAGUGUAGAGGUGAAAUUCGUAGUUAUUCGGAGGAACACCAGUGGCGAAGGCGGCUCACUGGCUCGAUACUGACGCUGAGGUGCGAAAGCGUGGGGAGCAAACAGGAUUAGAUACCCCGGUAGUCC
rnacentral:rRNA from 1 species